rnacentral:rRNA from 1 species
CUACGGGGUGCACCAGUGAGGAAUAUUGCACAAUGGGGGGAACCCUGAUGCAGCAACGCCGCGUGGAGGAUGACGCAUUUCGGUGUGUAAACUCCUUUUAUAUGUCAAGAAAAUGACGGUAGCAUAUGAAUAAGCACCGGCUAACUCCGUGCCAGCAGCCGCGGUAAUACGGAGGGUGCAAGCGUUACUCGGAAUCACUGGGCGUAAAGGACGCGUAGGCGGGUUGGAAAGUCAGGUGUGAAAUCCUACAGCUUAACUGUAGAACUGCACUUGAAACUUCUAAUCUAGAGUAUGGGAGGGGGAGAUGGAAUUAGUGGUGUAGGGGUAAAAUCAGUAGAUAUCACUAGGAAUACCUAAAGCGAAGGCGAUCUCCUGGAACAUUACUGACGCUAAGGCGUGAAAGCGUGGGAAGCAAACAGGAUUAGAUACCCGAGUAGUC